rnacentral:rRNA from 1 species
CCCUUAGAUGUUCUGGGCCGCACGCGCGCUACACUGACGAAGUCAGCGAGCAUGUCCUACGCCGACAGGUGCGGGGAAUCUUGUCAAACCUCGUCGUGAUGGGGAUUGAUUAUUGAAAUUCUUGAUCAUCAACGAGGAAUUCCUAGUAAGCGCAAGUCAGCAGCUUGCGUUGAUUACGUCCCUGCCCUUUGUACACACCGCCCGUCGCUACUACCGAUUGAAUGGUUUAGUGAGAUCUUCGGAUUGGCGCCACUGCGGCUCAGCAAUGGGCUCGGUGGAUGCCGAAAAGUUGAUCAAACUUGAUCAUUUAGAGGAAGUAAAAGUCGUAACA